rnacentral:tRNA from 4 species
AGGGAUGUAGCCAAGUGGUUUAAGGCAUCGGCCUUUGGAGCCGACAUUCGCAGGUUCGAAUCCUGCCAUCCCUGCUA